GUUUUAAAAGUGAAGAAUCAUUUUAAUGAUCUCCAUGAAUAUAAAUUUAAUUUGAGAAUAUUAGAAUAAAUAUUUGCAUUACAUAUGCAUAAAUUGUAUAUUAUAUAUAUAUUUGUGUAUAUGUGCAUACAUAUAGGCAUAUGUAUAUGACCAAAACUAAGUGGUUUAAUCCAAUUAUCCAAUAAAUAUUUAUUGAUUUAUCUUGUUUUCAAAAGCAUUUAACUAAUGAAUUAAUACAUUUUCCCCACCAAAACAAGGCAUUAACUAAAAAGCAAAUCAUUCCAUUCAUUAACAUAAGAACUGUCUCUGCCAGUGCUGGGGUUGGGGGUGGAGUGAGGUGUGAAGGAGAUAAGAAUAAAAAUUUUUUGUCACAAGAAACCUGAAAGAUAAAAAAGGGCUAUUUUAAAUUUUAUUCAAAAGCUUCAUAUAGAAAACCUAUAAAAAUAAAAUAGAACCUGAACUAUUAAGAUGUAGAACAGAAACUCUGAAGUUAGAGCACAAUUAAACAAGAUUUGUCUUAGAAGACAAGUAUUUUGCUCUUUGGUGUGUAAGGAAACAUUACAAAUACUUGCCUAAGAGUCUAAAAGUGUUUCCGGGGAUUGUGUCAAUGUGCACUUUGAAAUUUGUGACAAUACAACACAAACGUUUCUACAAAACCAAAUUUAAUAUACAACAAGCACUCACCAUGUAAACACAUUUUUUUUAAAAAAUCUUAUUAUAAUAUUCCAAGAAUCACUUACAGGCUUUCAUAAAAGCAUUUUAUAUCAAGAAUCUUAAUACAGAAUGAUUUCUAUGUCAAAAUACAUUUACACUGUAAAUUGUUUAUAGAAAAAAGACACAGAGAAAUGGAGUUUGCUGGCAUUGAAUUCAAUAGCAGCAACUGCCCCUGAUAUUUUUUUCCUUCAUUUUCUACUUUAAACAUUAUCUGAAAAAAAAAAAAAAUCUCCAUCAUAAUCUAUGCUUCUACAUUUUGCCUAUGCAUUUGUUCAUUAUGUCUGCCAGUAAAACAUAGUGAUAAAUUACUAUGAUUAUUCCAUUUUAAGAUCUAUCACAUGUGCCCAGGACAGCAUUCAGGACCUCACCUCAAAGCUGUCAGCCAUGUUUGUUUUGAGAGACUCAGCACUUACAAAGCCUGUCAGUAACAUCAGUUUGGAGACAACACUUGAGGAAUUAAACAGCAGUUAUCAAAUGCAAAACUGGAAAAAAUGCACAUAAAAACCACAAGUGCAGAUUGAUCACACAAUUUUAUUAGAGUCUUUUGAACAAAUGUAUUCCUCUGUUUAAAAAUUCUUGCCAAAGAGACAUUGGAGUGUACGAUUUUCAACCCUGAGCAUUAACACUGCAUACCAAGUACGGUAGGAAAGAAGCUGGUUAAAGAUUGGAGCACUAGCACAAGCCACUGUGAUAUUCUCUAUGUGAUCAGGUUUUUACAAAAAAAUACAUAGUUUUCAAUAAAUAAUGCUUAAUUUUACAACUUUGAUACAGCAAUGUCAUACACUGUUUUUAACACACACUAAACUCUGCAUGCUAUAUAGUCUACCAGAAGACAAACUUUGCCAUGCAUUAUCUUUUUUUUUCCCCUAGUGCUAUUAAACAUUUCAUCCUCCAGUGCAUUGCCUUAGGCAGCUUUACCCUCUCUCUGUUUCACAGCAAUAGGCCAUGCACUGGCAUGCAAAACCUAAAAAGGUUUCCCCCCCACAAACCACUCAGACUUCUAAACAAAAGUAUUUUUCAGAUUUUCCCCUCCUAGACCUGGAGUAGCUAUGAAAGUAAAUUUCACGUGGCCUUGAAAAUUACAUUUUUUUUUUAAAGUGUCAUGCUGAAAAAACUGCUUUAAAACAUCAGAUGCUCCUGCCCAGUCAUCACACAGCAUUUCAGAAUGCCGUAACCACUAGGAGUCCCAGAUAGGAAAAAAAGAGGCCUCAGUUUUAAAACAGCCUAUUAAAGAAAAAUGUCACAGAUCUAAAGUAGAGACUCCAAACCCACAUUAUAUGUACAAUAAAAACUGAAUCACAAAUUAAUUAAUAAUGGCAUGUUUUUUUUUUUUUUCUCCCUUUGUGAAUCAAGGGAUGAGGAAAGUUCUUUUUGGACAUAGGGUUAAUGAAAAAAAAUGAAAAAAAAAAUUUGUGACAGAGGGUUCUGUCAUUAUUUAUUUGAUCAAAUUUCUUAUUGUCAUAUAUUAUUAUCUCUGUUAUCUUUUUUGUUGUUAUGUGGAUAUUGGAAUAAAGGAGUAGUCAGAUGAAAAAUCACGUCAAGAUCCUGGAAUAAAUUUUUUUUUCACACACUUUAAUAGUUUUUGUCAUAUUGCUUUAUUCUGUCAGUCUUCACAGCAUGGGAAAUCCAGGUUUAAGUGACUAUGAAAAAGAAAUUUGAUCAAACAAUAAGUCUAGAGCCUCCACCUUUGCACUUCCAGGUUUGCUUAAGUUGAUCUUUUAUUUUUCUCAUUGAAAACCACUCAUCCCAACCCGAUCGUAUUGCUUUAGUGGUUUGCCUUGCUUUAUAGAGAAGCCAUUCAUUUGCAAUUGUAGUCAAUCAAAACUUUCUAAGAACAUUUAAAAUAUUCCUUUCUUUGCACUGGCAGAGGUAUUGGAUCUUUUAAGAGUAUCUCUACCCAAUAAAAUUAUUACUUUUAUACAUGGAAUAUUAUGAACCUUUGUUUCCCUUUUGUAAGUCAUUUUACAUUUUCUGCACAUUUGUGCUUCUAUUGAGUAUAAAAAUAGGUCUCCUUUAAAAUUCUGUUUACUUUAAGUUCACUAAAAAACUACUUGCUUGUGAAAUUCUCUUACAAACUCACUGCAUCCACAUAAAGUAGAUAAAACUAAUUAGGCAACUAAUUGAUAUAGGUAGUGUUAAAAAAAAAAAAAAUCAGGCUACAAUGGAGAAAAAAAGGGAAAAGAUGCUAGCAUUCAAAGGAAAGGCCCGAAGUAAGUAGAAUGGAAGAGAACCCAAUCUAAAGAAUCUCCUUUUGAUCUUUAUGAUGAUUGAAGACUAGGGCUGACUUUAGGAAAGAACUGAGUUGACAUCAAAUAGCAGAAUCUGUCAGGUCAUCAAAUGUGAGGGGUACGUGGGUGGAAAAAACUGAAUGACUUGUAAGGAAUAACCAAGAUUUAAAAACAAAGUGAACCAACUGUGAACAAAACGUUGAAAUAAAUUUUUCUUCAUGGAGACAGUUGGUAAAUUUCCUGGUUAGGAUCUAUAAGGCUCAAUCUUAUUUUUUUCCAUGGGCUCAGGAUGGACAAGGGAAUUUGAAACUCAAAUUCUCAAUGGAUAUCUUUUAAAAUGGGGACUAAGAAAUAUACUGGAAAUUUCCCGAUGUUGUACUAAAGAACACUGUUCUUUUACAAAUAAACUGAUGAAUUUCUCAAUAAAUUGCUUUCAACCACCUUUCUACUCUAAGAAAAAAUAACAGUUUAUCUUUGCCAUGGAGAGAUAUUAAUACCAAGAUACCUGCUAAAAUCAGGAUAACCAGUAGAAACAGGUUAUAAUAUAAUAUAAUAAAAAUGAGAGAGCAAAAACAAAACCCACAAAAAGCCCUCUCCAAAUAGUUAAUAGCAAUAUAUAUGCACAAAAUUAAAACUUCAAAAUAUAUACACAUAUUUCAUUAAUCAUCAGUGACCAGUGAAUAAAAAUGUUAAGAGUGACUAUACAGUCAAAUUGAGUGACAACUUUAAAAUUGAGCAAAUCAUCUGCUUCAACCACCAGAUUCCUUGGAUCAAAGGAAAAAAAAAAUCAAUUCUAAAAUGGGGAGAAAUAGCCAACAAACUUUCUUGUACUGUACCUGAUAUAAAAAUGUUCAGCAUAUAUAUAUAUGUAUAUAUAGGAAUGUAUAUAAGGACUAUAGUUUUGUUUCCUUUCAAAAGCAAGAAAAAGGCAAACUCCAAUCUUUUGACAGUAUUGUUUCCUUUUACUGAAAAACAAUAAAAUUUUACCUGACUCUGCCAUGCAUGCAUCUUUAAAUCAUUUCCCUUUGAUUAACAUUAAACAGAACAUCUCCUCCAAGAGUAUAGUCAUUUUUCCCCUAGACAAGAAACAUCCUAGUAAUAAUUCACCAUCUGAACAUAGCCAUUCCUAAAUUACAAAUUAUUUGCAAAGCACAGUCUUUAAGUAAACUGCCUUUAUUAUUAUUUUUUAAAUAAAGGGGAUGCAUAUCAGAAAGAAAGGACAGGAGUAAUACUUCCACACAUCCUCUAGGAAUAGUUUAAAGAAUUACUAAGAGAACUCUGGCUCAGUUUUUUUGUUUUUUUCUGUUUUAAAGAUGGAAACCUGGUCAAGCAAUGUCAUCAUCACUGUGAACUAGUUAUAAACAGCAGGAACCCACUGGCUAGACUGCAGUGCACUCGAGUAUACAUCCCCUCCCCCCCAGGAGAGAUAAAUGUUAAGAUUUUAACCUACAUUGUCAAUAUGGGGGAAAUAUGACUUAUAAUGUAUGAGACCAAAAAAAUGAAAAUACAAGAAAUUUUUAUUGAAAACUAUCCAGUGCUAAGGAUACCUUAUUAGUCGUAGUUGUUUUAGACAUUCAGAAAAGAAUUAAGAAUGAUUUUUCACAAUGCAAUCAUCAAACAGUAUCAUCUAAUAGCAGUUAAUAGGGCUCACAUGUGCCUCACAUGGCUCUGUCCUGAGCUCUAGCUGACCGUGAUUUGGAUUUCCAAUAGAGUAUUUCUAAGUUUAUUAGCAAAAACUUGAUAAAACAGCUUUUAUUUAGAACCACGAGUAUGCCUUCCCCACCCCCUUUAAUAAUUGAGCAAAUUAUUGACCAUUUCAUUAUUUUGGAGCAGAUAUUUCACCACAGAAAAAGGCGAGUCAUCUCUGAAACCUAAAAUACAUGCAAGGUAUUGGUUCAAAAUAUUACAUUUCAUAUGCCUUACAAAUUUGGAUGCAGGAUUUCUAUUUUCAGCAAGAGUUUAAAACUGUAGCAGUGGGACUGCCACUAAAAAUUACCAGCACAGUGAAUUGUCAUUGUAAACCGCUGGCUCAUUUACUUGUGGACUGACUGACCAAUGACUACAUUAGUCUAUCAUUUGGCAAAAAAAAAAAAAAAAAAAAAAAAAAAAAGUAAACAUUUUAAGAAAAACAGUUCUGUCUUGCGAACCAUGUUCACACUAUCAGCCUUUUCUUCUUCCGUGUAUACUACUGAACUCUGACGGCUCAUAGAAAGAAAAUCUACGAGAAAGAGAAAUGGAGGGAAUCUGUCUUUUUUUUCCCCCUCUCUGCUCCUCCCAAGAGAAUGGAGGGUGGGAUGGAGGAGGGGCGCGAGCGAAAGGCCAGCACACAGGCCCGACUGUAAAGCAAGGAAGAUUGGGAGGGGAGGAGGGGAGAGAAAGCCCCUUUGGUAUAGCAGCUCCUAGUUGGAUUUGGACGCUUCUAUUUAGUCUAGCCAAGUUUCAAUAAACCUGGAAGGAGACACAUUUUGGAAUGAUUUUUCAGACAGUUUAAUUUUUUAAAAAAGGUAAGAAAACCCUCUCUUAGAAUGAAGGAUGUUGCACUGGGUUUCUCAAAAAAAAAAAAAAUAAAAUCGUUUAAAAUCUCCCUUACUCAAAUCAUCAGACCUUGAGGCACAGCAGUGGUAGGUUUAGCUAUGCAGAGACCUAGUCUUUGCUUAUGCAGCCCUCCCGAAAACAGAGCCACUAAGAAAAAGCGGGAGGAGCUAAGCAGCCCCUGGUGGACCAAGCGUCUAUUUCUAAUUAAGCCCCCAAGAAUGAAGGGGUGAUCAGUCAGGGUGCAGCAUCAGAAGCAAAGACUAGGUGCAAGAAAGAAAGAAAAAAAUCACAGCCAACCUUCCCUACCACGUCCUCCAACUGCAGUUUGCCAUGUGGGCUGCAGAAAACUGAGCAGAGAGAACAGGGCGGGCCACGCAGGUCCCCUUAGCCAAAACAAGGACAGAGCAAAGGUGAUGGGGAGGGAAGAGAAAGAAAAAAAUCGCAUCCGAGAUGCAGCUCUUCCUAUCCUCCCCCAUUCUUUCUAGAAACACCAAUGCAAAAAUCCAGAGAAGGGAGUUUUUUUUUUUUCCCCUGUGUUCAGAGAAAUAAAGGAAUCUGUCUAUUUUUUUUUUUUUAAAAGAGAGAAAAGACUUCGGCAAAUCUUCCCUCCAAGUCCUCCGUUAUCACACACAUACCCGCCCCGAAGGUCGGUUCCCCUGGGGGGAGAAAGGGUGGGGUUAGGAGCCACAGACAAGCUCCUUCCUCCUUACAGAACCUCCACACUUUCAGUACAGGUCUGGGGAGUUUUAUCUCCCCCAUUUCCUAUUUGUUUAUUUUUCUCCUCCUCAAAGCCAAAACACAAAUUGCCCCCCCCCCCCCCGCCCCAGCCCCACCCCUCAGAGCAAAUGGUUAGCCUAGCACAUCCAUCCCCUGCAGCAGGAUGGAUGCUCCAAAGGGGGUGGGGGUUGGGGUAAGAAGGAGGCCGCCCAGUCUUACAUCAGGAGACAUGUCCCUCUAGCCUUUUUGAAAAUGCAAAGCAUGGAGGGGAAGAAGAGGGAGGAGCUGGCUUGGUCUCUGGCCCUAGCUUCUCCCCCUCCCCAGGCCCACAGCCACUGAAACCCUCCGUCCGUCACCUCCCUCCCUGAAGGCCUCUUCUUCAAACCCCGAACACUGUAACCCUUUCCCCCCAGCCCCAAAGAUACAGCUGUAUGGAGACUUUUGGAGCUGACUCUGAAUAAGCCGCGGCCGUUCUCAUCUCAUUUCGGAGUCCAAUGCUUUCCGCAUUCAUCCUUCUUCUCUAAUUUCUCUUUCUCCUCUGCCUGCCUGCCUCCACGCUGCCCAGCCUAGCCCAGGCUCGAGCAAAAGCGCCGAGACCCCGGGAUGCGCGCCCGCCGGGGGCCACGGCCACACCCCCUCCACCUCCCGAGAGCGCCCGGGCCCAUUCCAUCUCCCCUCCAUUUUAAGGGCAGAGCCCGGGAGCAAGCUACCUCCCCCGUACCCCACCUCCCUCCCUCCCCCGCCCCAGCUCCGCUCCGAGCCGCCUUCCCCAUCCAGGCCCCUAGGAGACGAGAAAAGAACCGGGCACCUAGAAAACGCCUCCCCCCCCCCCCCCCACCCCCCGCCCCCCCCCCCCCCCCCCAGCAAAGAACUGCAAUAAGCGGAUCCCGCCGGCACCCACGUCCCUUUGCAGGGGGAAAUAAUAGAAACCGCAAACCGAGCGCCCCGCCCUGGCGGGCGAGCCUGCGGGAGGCUGCGCCAGUGGAGGGCAGGUAGUUCGCUGCGCGCCCAGACUAAAUCCCCACAGCCAGCCCCACCCCCCACCCCCCGCUAAACGAACCUCCAGAAGUCACGGAACGCGCCCUUCGCUCCCCUCCGGCCCCAAGAAAAACACAUACAUCCUAAUGCGCAGAUAAGAUCACAAUAACGUGCACAAAUCGAGUCCGCUCAAAGCCUGCCCCUCCCCCCGCCAUUUCUCAGAGCCUCCGGUGCACUUGGGUUGGAUGGGUCUGGGGAGAAGGGAGAAGGCGGGAGAGCCGGGAGAAAAAGGAGAAUGGGAAAGGGGUGAGAAAAGGGAGAUAAAGAAUACUACUAGGUCAUUUUCUAAUAAGUAGCCGAAGGAAGAUGAUAAAGAAACCCGGAUAUUAUUCUCGCUCAUCAAUUUAGCACUCAAAAAGUCUGUACCAUCUUCGAAAAUGGAUAGUCCUCGCCGCUCCCUCCCCUUCCUUCCCUCUCCCCAGGUUUCACUACAAGCACAGAGCCACCUCUCUAGAUCUCUUGUUUCUGUUUGCGAGUUAGGGGCGGACAAUACGUGACACUCUCCAGCUUCACUUCCAUAGAGACUAUUGGCGAUACGAGUUUCUAUCAGUUCCAGCUGAUUUAUUAAAAUUGUCAAGAUACAGACUUUCAGCAUAAAAAAAACAGGCAAGGAUGUUGACAGUGCAUGAGUCUGCUUUGCCAUCUUUUGCUACGAAAUGUGCAGAUGGUCUGUACUUUAUUUAGAUUAUAUUGCACAAAAUGAGAAACUUUCUUUUACUAUGUGCCUUUUUUUUUUGCUAAAAAUCGAGAAUCCAGUUUCAUACCUUCCAUCUGGGGCCCCAUCCACAUAUCACAGCGUAUGAGAUACAUAAAGACCUACUAUAAUACAGUACAUAUACAAUCUUUAAACUAAGGUAACAGCUCUGAGGUCUAUAUCACCAUUUUCAAUAAAUCUUUACCUACAAAUAUUGAACAAAUCUGAACUAUAGCUGUACAAAAAGUUUUUUUUUUUUUAAAACCACAAGGCCUUUAGAUGCAAGGAUUAUUUAAAAAUUUUAAUCCUUUUAAAACCAGGACAUAACGUACCAACAUACUUGCAUGCUAAAAACAGAGGAAAAAAAGAAAUCAAAAGGGAAGAAGUGCCUGAAAGUCUUACUGAAAAAACACAGCAAGAAUGUUCCCUUUUCACUGUACAAAAAUACGCCUGAAAAUAUAUUAAUUUUUAAAAAAGACUGAGGUCUGUUAUGUAUCAAAAAUGUUUCAAUACCUUUUGUACUGAGGUCUAGGCUGUCUGGUAUUCAAUCAAGGAGGUAUAAGGGAACAAGUUACAAAAAAAAGGUUGGCAAGUAGAAAUCACAUUUGUAAAACCAUAAACAAUUUGAUCUGAAAAGUAAACUCUGAUCUUAAGUCAGUUCACAGUUUUUUUUUUGUUUUUGUAAGCGUUUGUACAGUCUGUAUUUUUUCAAGCUCCCUGCAGUUUUGUUAAGAAUCGGAUGCAUAGAAGACAUCAGUUUUCUCCCUCCAAAAUAAUAAUAAUAAUAAUAAAAAGUUGCAAUGGUCCCUUUUGUUUUUGUUUUUUUUUUUCUUUUUAAAUCAACAGUUCUGUAAGAUCUCUCAGGAAAGAAAAAGGGAAAAAAAUCCACAAACCCCCUUGAGUAACAGUUGCGCGGCCAAAAGGCUUCUUUGCAGACCGUCUUCCAGACUUCAAUCAAAGACCGACAAGCUUCAAACAGCGCCUUCCGGAGCGUCCCCCCCUCCCCCUACUCCCGCCCCCAGUCCCUUACGCCUUUGUUGCGAUCACCAAUUUCAGGGGAAAAAAUAAAAAUACAAAAAAAAAAAAAAAAUUACACAUUUUGGGAUGGGGGUGGGGAAUCACAACUCCAGGCUGGGUUUGGAACUACCUUGAGACAUGAUAAGGGAGAGGGGGAGGGGGAAAGAAUUUAAAAAUUAAAAUAAAAAACAGGAAAAAUAACCAAAAAACUACUCAUUUCUCUUAAACUCCACCAAUUUUUUUUUAUCAUCUUUUCCAAUUUCUUUGCGUCAUCAUCACAACAUCAUGAGCAUCUUCUCUUUCCCCAUCAUCAUCAAUAUUCUCAUCAUCAUCAUCAUCAUCAUCAUCAUCAUCACGAUUUCCUCUCGAACCCUGCUCCGCACUACCGGUCGAGGGAGAGACAGAGGUGCCCCCUCCCCCCCUUUUCAAUAUGUGAACACCAAGUCGGAAAAGUUCGCCUCCAACCAGUCCCCCGCGAUCAUCUCGCUCAGCUCCGGGGUACAGUAGUCGGGGAACUCAAAGUGGGAGCCCAGGCUGCCCUCGCUGAACGAAUCCAAAUCUUUAUCCACCAGGGACAGGGAUAGAUUCCCCGCCGCUGAGCCGCCCCCCAGCUGCUGCUCGGUCGCUGAGUGGGGAUUUUGGGAGAAAUUCAAGCUCAGAUCGAACAUCAGGUCGUCAGCCUCCUCGCUGCUGCUAGAACUGGAACUGGAGGAGGAGGAGGUGGAGACAGAGCGCGAGGAAGCUGGGGACAGGCUGGGCUGCUGCAGCUGCUGGGCGCUCUGCUUGGUGAUGUUUUUGAAGCUGUAGUAAAGGCGGCUGGCGCUGCCGCCCCCGCCGUGGCCCCCGGCGGAGGUCGCGCCGGCCCGGACCUCCUCGUACAAACUGGCCCCCUCGGUGGAUUCCGCCGAGCUGCUCAGCGUGGGGCUGGCGGGCACUUUGGCGACGCUGUAGCGCCGGAGCAGCUGCUGGGUCUGCUGCUGCUGCGUCUGCUGCUGCUGCUGCUGCCGCCGCCCGGGAUGCUCCUCGUCUUCUUCCUCGGGCUCCUGCUUGAUCCGCAGUUGAAGGUCGUCCUCGUCCUCCUCGUCCUCCUCGUCCUCCUCCAUGAAGACGCAUUUGACGGUUUUGCUGCAGCCGCCCGCGCCGCCCGCGCCGCUCACUUUGAGGGUGCCAAACACCAACUCCUCGCCCGCGUAGUCUCCGUGGUGGGCUGUUUUACCGGCUCCCGGCUUGGGGCAGGAUGUGGACGAGGAGGAGGUCGAAGAGGAGGACGGAGAGGUCUUCAGCUUGCUACAUUUCUUGCUGGAGCUCUUUGAGUUCUUGCUGCCGCCGCCGCCGCCGCCGCCGCCGCCGCCCCCGCUGCCGCUUCCCCCGCCGCCGCCGCCCCCGCCGGCACUCUUCUCGGGGCUCUGGCUAGCGUUAGGUUUGGACGAAGGGUCCAUUUUGGGCUUUUUCCUGGGCCUGUACUUGUAGUCGGGGUAAUCGGCCAUGUGCUUGAGCCGCAGCCUCUCCGCUUCCCGGAUAAAGGGGAUCUUCUCGCUGUCCUUAAGCAUUUUCCACCUCUUGCCCAGCCUCUUGGAUAUCUCCGCGUUGUGCAUGUCUGGGGACUGCUCCAUGAUUUUUCUCCUCUCGAUUUUAGACCACACCAUGAAAGCGUUCAUCGGCCUCUUAAUGUGGCCCGAUGCCGUUUUGCACCAGUCCGGGUCGCUUUCAUCCAGGGCUACUGGGCUACAGGCCAUGAAUUCGCCCUCCUCCGUGUCCAUCGCCUCCCGGGGCAGGUUGACCUCGCUUUCCAGGCUAUCCGCCUGCUGCACCAUGUUCGGGCGUUGUGCGUUGCGUUAAAACCCAAAGCAACUUUCUCCUGUGCGGCAAGCCCCCUCCCCCUCCCUCCCACCCCCCCCCCCACCUCCCCUUGCAAGUUGCAAAGUCCUCCGUACCCCCUUUUUCUUCUCCCCCCCUCCCCCCCGCCCCCUUCCUGCUCCAGCUGCACACAACGGCUGCGGCGGCUUAGGUGGCUGCUACCCGCUGCGGUCUUGGCGGCGGCGGCGGCGGCGGCGAGGUUUCUGAGCCGAGGCAGGCGGCGGCGGCGGCGGCGGCGGCGCAGGACCCCUCUUGCUCCGGCUUGAACGCGCUCCCUGCCGCAAUCGCCGGACCCCAAGUACUCCCAGGCGCGCGCACUGCUUCUGCAAAAAGUUGAGGGCUCUCUCCCAACUAGUUAUCAGGGUGUCAUAUGGGUGACAUCACUCCCUGAGCCAGCCAAUCGCCGGCUGUCAGCUCCUCCCCGAUCCCUUUAUUAACUCCCCUUCUCCUCCCCCUUUGCCCCGCCUGCGGGGCUUCAUCGGAAAGCUGGAGGUGGGGGGAAAGCGUGUCUAGAAAUGUGUUAUUUUAAAAUAUAUGCGUCUGUUAUGCAUCUAUGCGCUCCCUCUCCGCGCCACCGAGGCGUAUGCCUCUAUUCUCCUCCUCGCAGAGGUGGGCACGCCAAGGCGCUCACGCCCAGAGAGACUGCCCCGCGCUAGAACCGUCUCUGCCGUUGCGCUGGGACAGCCCCCCGGCCCCCACCUCAAGCCCCCUGCUUCGCUUCUCGCUCCUCCGCACCCUCCGUCCCAGCACGCGUUUUGUUAAAGGGGGCGGCGCAAGGUUGCAGAUGGUGGCUGUACAAGCUCCGGGACUAGACUCUGAUUUCCAUUUGCCUGGUAGCAUCCGACGGGGUGAUUUCAGCUUUCCCAGAAGCGCCGAUGGAUUCUGGUGGGCUCCGCUUCUAGACAACUGAAGGUGGCGCUUUAACUCUACAAGCUUUUCUAAGACACGUGGGGCUCUCCCCCCAUCCCCCCUUUUUCUCAAGAUCAGUCACUCCCAUCCAAUCUGGCUGAAGAGAAGAGAUGCUGCUUCUCUCCUAGACCCGGGCUGUUG
rnacentral:lncRNA from 1 species